GUGGGGAAUAUUGGACAAUGGGCGAAAGCCUGAUCCAGCAAUGCCGCGUGAGUGAUGAAGGCCUUAGGGUUGUAAAGCUCUUUUACCAGGGAUGAUAAUGACAGUACCUGGAGAAUAAGCUCCGGCUAACUCCGUGCCAGCAGCCGCGGUAAUACGGAGGGAGCUAGCGUCGUUCGGAAUUACUGGGCGUAAAGCGCACGUAGGCGGUUACUCAAGUCAGAGGUGAAAGCCCGGCGCUCAACCCAGGAACUGCCUUUGAAACUAGGUAACUAGAAUAUUGGAGAGGUCAGUGGAAUUCCGAGUGUAGAGGUGUAAUUCGUAGAUAUUCGGAAGAACACCAGUGGCGAAGGCGACUGACUGGACAAGUAUUGACGCUGAGGUGCGAAAGCGUGGGGAGCAAAUGGGAUUAGAAACCCCAGUAGUCC
rnacentral:rRNA from 1 species